AAAUUUGUUGUAUAUUCAAGUCCGGCUUUUGUGCAAUUUUGGUGAUGACCGGAACAGAAAUAAAGAUAUUUUAAAAACUGGCCGUGGCCUCACGAUAAAACUUUCUACAAAUGAUCUCUGUUUCAUGUACUUUUAUUUGAUAUCUUAGGUAUAAGCGUAAAAAUAGGGGCUCAUACAGUUUGAGAGGUUGUAAAAUGCAUGACUUGCAUCUAUUUUCAUGUAAACAUUCGAAAUUCUUCGACAGGAAAGUAGCAAGUCUAGCAACUGUUUCAGAUCGAAUGCACACGGACAGCCCACCAGAGACAAUAGCAGGGUACUGAAAUAGAACGUCACUAAAAAAUUCUGUAUGAUUAAUUUAGAUCAUGUCAACUCUUUCAACAUAAAACAGUCGUUUAUUUUGUACAAACAUUUGGCAAUAUUUACACGAUUGUGCCUUUUUGUAAACACGC